rnacentral:rRNA from 1 species
CGCUUGCGGCGUGCCUAAGAAAUGCAAGUCGAACGAGAGCUUCGGCUCGAGUGGCGAACGGUCGCGUAACACGUGGGCAACCUGCCCUGAAGCGGGGGACAACAGUUCGAAAGGACUGCUAAUACCGCAUGUGAAUCCUGGUGGCAUCACUAGUAUUCAAAGCCUUCGGGCACUUCAGGAUGGGCCCGCGGCCUAUCAGCUAGUUGGAGGGGUAACGGCCCACCAAGGCUACGACGGGUAGCUGGUCUGAGAGGACGGCCAGCCGGAUUGGGACUGAGAUACGGCCCAGACUCCUACGGGGGGCAGCAAUUAGGAAUCUUGCGCAAUGGGGGAAACCCUCACGCAGCGACGCCGCGUGAAGGAUGAAGUCUUUCGGGACGUAAACUUCUUUUAUUGGGGAAGAAGAAUGUGACGGUACCCAAUGAAUAAGCCCCGGCUAACUACGUGCCAGCAGCCGCGGUAAUACGUAGGGGGCGAGCGUUGUCCGAAUUUACUGGGCGUAAAGAGCAUUAAGGCGGACUCUUAAGUGAGAGGUGAAAGGUUCAGGGCUCAACCCGAACACUGCCUUUCAUACUGGGAGUCUUGAGUACGGGAGAGGCGAGUGGAAUUUCUGGUGUAGCGGUGAAAUGCGUAGAUAUCAGAAGGAGCACCCAUGGCGAAGGCAGCUCGCUGGCCUGUAACUGACGCUGUAGUGCGAAAGCGUGGGGAGCAAACAGGAUUAGAUACCCUGGUAGUCCACGCCCUAAACGAUGAAUGCUAGGUGUAAGUGGUAUCGACCCCACUUGUGCCGCAGCUAACGCAAUAAGCAUUCCGCCUGGGGGAGUACGGCCGCAAGGUUGAAACUCAAACCAAUUGACGGGGACCCGCACAAGCGGUGGAGCAUGUGCAUUAAUACGUCAUUAACCGUAGAACCUUACCAGGGUUUGACAUGUCUGGAUUCCCGGGUGAAAGCCCGGUUUCCUCGCAAGAGGACCAGAACACAGGUGUUGCAUGGCUGUCGUCAGCUCGUGUCGUGAGAUGUUGGGUUAAGUCCCGCAACGAGCGCAACCCUCACCCAAUGUUGCCAGCGUAAAGUCGGGAACUCUUUGGGAACUGCCCGUGUAAGCGGGAGGAAGGUGGGGAUGACGUCAAGUCAGCAUGGCCCUUACAUCCUGGGCUUGACACAUGCUACAAUGGACGUUAAACAAAGGGACGCAAUACCGCGAGGUGGAGCCAAUCUCAAAAAUGCGUUCUCAGUUCGGAUUGCAGGCUGCAACUCGCCUGCAUGAAGCCGGAAUCGCUAGUAACCGCAGGUCAGCUAAACUGCGGUGAAUACGUUCCCGGGUCUUGUACACACCGCCCGUCAAGUCACCUGAGUUGUCUGCACCCGAAGUCGGUGGCCUAACCGCAAGGAGGGAGCCGCCUAAGGUGUGG